CCCGUACACGAAAGCACACAGGCUGUGAACUCGAAGAGUAGGGCGGGACACGUGGUAUCCUGUCUGAAUAUGGGGGGACCAUCCUCCAAGGCUAAAUACUCCUGACUGACCGAUAGUGAACCAGUACCGUGAGGGAAAGGCGAAAAGAACCCCGGCGAGGGGAGUGAAAAAGAACCUGAAACCGUGUACGUACAAGCAGUGGGAGCACCUUCGUGGUGUGACUGCGUACCUUUUGUAUAAUGGGUCAGCGACUUAUAUUCUGUAGCAAGGUUAACCGUAUAGGGGAGCCGAAGGGAAACCGAGUCUUAACUGGGCGUUAAGUUGCAGGGUAUAGACCCGAAACCCGGUGAUCUAGCCAUGGGCAGGUUGAAGGUUGGGUAACACUAACUGGAGGACCGAACCGACUAAUGUUGAAAAAUUAGCGGAUGACUUGUGGCUGGGGGUGAAAGGCCAAUCAAACCGGGAGAUAGCUGGUUCUCCCCGAAAGCUAUUUAGGUAGCGCCUCGUGAACUCAUCUUCGGGGGUAGAGCACUGUUUCGGCUAGGGGGCCAUCCCGGCUUACCAACCCGAUGCAAACUACGAAUACCGAAGAAUGUUAUCACGGGAGACACACGGCGGGUGCUAACGUCCGUCGUGAAGAGGGAAACAACCCAGACCGCCAGCUAAGGUCCCAAAGUCAUGGUUAAGUGGGAAACGAUGUGGGAAGGCACAGACAGCCAGGAUGUUGGCUUAGAAGCAGCCAUCAUUUAAAGAAAGCGUAAUAGCUCACUGGUCGAGUCGGCCUGCGCGGAAGAUGUAACGGGGCUAAACCAUGCACCGAAGCUGCGGCAGCGACGCUUAUGCGUUGUUGGGUAGGGGAGCGUUCUGUAAGCCGUUGAAGGUGUGCUGUGAGGCAUGCUGGAGGUAUCAGAAGUGCGAAUGCUGACAUAAGUAACGAUAAAGCGGGUGAAAAGCCCGCUCGCCGGAAGACCAAGGGUUCCUGUCCAACGUUAAUCGGGGCAGGGUGAGUCGACCCCUAAGGCGAGGCCGAAAGGCGUAGUCGAUGGGAAACAGGUUAAUAUUCCUGUACUUGGUGUUACUGCGAAGGGGGGACGGAGAAGGCUAUGUUAGCCGGGCGACGGUUGUCCCGGUUUAAGCAUGUAGGCGGAACGAUUAGGUAAAUCCGGUCGUUUAUUAACGCUGAGGUGUGAUGACGAGGCACUACGGUGCUGAAGUAACAAAUGCCCUGCUUCCAGGAAAAGCCUCUAAGCAUCAGGUAACACGAAAUCGUACCCCAAACCGACACAGGUGGUCAGGUAGAGAAUACCAAGGCGCUUGAGAGAACUCGGGUGAAGGAACUA
rnacentral:rRNA from 1 species